rnacentral:misc_RNA from 1 species
UCAUAAUCUUCUCAUGCUCUUUGAAUAAGAUAAUGCCUAAAUAUACUUGAGAUCAUCAUGUAGCUUUAGAAAAGACUUAGAAAGUCUUCAAAUCCUUUUUGAAUAUUUGAAAGAAUUUUUGGCUAAUAUUUUGGUUAAGAUAUGGUGAAUCUUCAUUCAUGAUGAGGGGACCACAUUUGUAAAUUUUCAAGCAAAAGUCAUGGCCAUUUGUAUAGCCAUAUAUAGUGAUGUGUUAAAGAGAGAUUGAGAGAAAAUUAGAGAGCUCUCUAAUAAGUGUGGUAUGGACAGUAAGAAAAUAAAAGUGACUACUCUAUUAAGUAUGUCAAGUGUGUGAGUUACGGAUGUAGAAGAAGUCUUUGGGUUUAAGGGUUUCUACUUGACCUUGUGAUUUGUAUAAGCCACUUUGAUGAUGUAUUUCUUCCGUCUUUGCUUGUUGAUGUAAGCAACAAGUCGAAUCACAUAAAAUUUUCUGUAUUAUGUGUGUUUAUUUUUAUCCACUGCUUUUGUAGAUUAUGAUUUUUGUGCAAUAUCCAAUAUUGCCUUAUUCAGGCCUCUUUCUGAGUCAGUAUUGCUUGUAUCUUCGCUUUCUAUAAAUUGAAGCUACUAGUUCCAUCAAACUUCUCGAUUUCCAUUGAUGAGUCCAUUAUGGAUUUGCUAAGAAGA